AGAACUAAGUCGGGUGAUGCUCAGGGAAUUAGAUUGGGGAAUGAGACAGUUAAAGUAAUAAAGGAGUUCUGCUAUUUGAGGAGCAAAAUAACUGAUGAUGGUAGACACUUCGUCCAGUGUUGCUGUAGCUUUUGAUACAAACUGGCAAAGGUUCAGAUUCAUCCUUGUCUUUACUUUCUUCACUUAUCGAUAUCGUCAAUUGAAGACCUCCUACGAUUCCAAUUUUUCUCGAAAUGGAACCAAGGGUAGAUAGUGGCCUCCGAGCUGUUUCUUUACUUAAUUCUGUGCCUUUGUUGAAUUACAUUAUCAUAGUGCAAGUUGGUCAUACAAUUUUGAUGCAAAAGUGAACCUGUAAACAUGAUAAAAUGUGGACGUCUCUGGAGAAACCUCAGUGUGUGGGGCCCAUUAGAUACAGACGAUACCUGAUACCCAAAUGCAACGAACCUUUCAGACUUGGGAUACAUCAUUUAUGGAAACAGGAGUUCCUGUUACAUAUACAGCACUUGACACUGCUUGUGAGAAAACAUUAUUAAUCAGCACUGAUAGUCAACUUGGUCCCUAGCAUCCACUAGUGGGCGCCUCCACCUCCAUAGCAGCCAGUAGACAGUUGGACCCUAAAAUAUUUAUAUUAGGGUUUCACAAAACUUUGAAAAAAAUAUUUGGUCAUACAAUUUUGAUGCGAAAUGGAACCUGAAAACCUGCUAAAAUGUGGAUACCAGUGGAUAAAGCUCAAUGUGUGUGGCCUGGUAUAUACAGAUGAUAUCAGAUACCGAAGUGCAAUGAUCCUUUCGGACUUGGAAUACAUCAUUUAUGGAAACAGUGCUCACAAGACAUUUACAGUGGGGUGUGCAGUUGAGAACAGUUCUCCAUCUACCCCUCAGUGCUCACCAGAAUUAUCCAAAGUGGAGCACUGUGCCAAUUCCAAGAAGCAGGCCAAAGAUGUCCUGGUAAGCAGCACAUUUUCAAUGCUGCGAGACAAACAAACAGCAAUGAAUGGGAGCAAUGAGGAUGACAAGUUGGGCGAAUAUGUUGCAGCUGAGCUGAUAACAACUAAAAAUAGAAAAUUAAAUGCAGAGGCAAAGUGAAUGUUAUCAUGAAUGCCAUCAUGGGUGCAAUUCAGAAAGUUACUGAUUGUUAAUUUUUAAAUAAAAGAUUGAAAAUUAAAAA
rnacentral:misc_RNA from 1 species